UCAGCAAGACCUAACUACUCAAUUCUUUUAUUAGCCUGGGUAGAAAAUUUUAGAAGUUACUUAAAAUUUUGCAAUGGAUUAUUUAUGUGAUGUUGUACUUGUACUGAAAAAAAUUAUUGUUUGGAAUUUGUAUAUCUAUGUUAUAACGUCAAACUGUUUGGAAAGAAGCUUUUCUAUUCUGAAACUUGUCGAAGAAACUGUCAAAAAAAGAAGGACUGCUGGUUGUACUAUAAUGGAUUAGUAAUGGUACAUUCAUUUCGGUUAACGAGGUGUAAGCAGAGCAAGUGUUUGAUGCUAUAUAUAUAAGCGCUUCCCAGUGUAUGACUUAUAACGAAAUUGACGUAUACAAUUGACUGCAUGAAAUUUGUUUUUUCUAUUGACAUAUUUUUAAAAAAUAUAUUUCAAUUGCAAAUAUAA